AUGCCUGGGCCAGCAGCCAGCUUACAAAGGAAGAGACCGGUGCCGGCCAGCGAGCUCCCGGGAAACAGACCCCGGCGCCGCCCCCAGUGCACAGCAACCCAGCUCGCAGCCCCCGCUGCCCAGAGGUGCAGGGCAGGCCACGGCUCCUCGGCCUCAGUGCCCUCAUCUUUUAAAUGGGCACAGUGCUUUCUGGGGAGAGGGAGAGAGAGAGCUUCACCUCCCGCCCCCCAGAAGAGACGGAGACCCCACUCUGCUGCUAAACUGAUGAACAUUCCUGGCCCCCGCGGUCCUCCCCAGAGGGCCACGCCUCCACGCCUCUGUCUGCCGCCUCUGCCCGCGCGGCACCUGCCAGCCGGCUCCGAGGGCCUGGUGGUGGCUCCCCUUCAACGGGACUCCCCGGAAGCCUCUCUCUCGGCUUCAGCUCCUGCCCACGCUCUCCCGACUUCUUCACGGCUGGGAUCCCUUGACGUCCCCCCCCCCCCCGUGCCAUUUCCCAACCCACAGCAGCCUGGCUUGUCCUUUCUCUCCUGUGCUCACAGCCCUUCCCCGCCAGGUUCAGAAGUUGACCCUGUCGCUGCAACCUGUGUGUGUCUCCUGAGAGCAGCCCUGGGCCUCAGCUGUCCCCAGAUCCACUGUGCCCAGCAUGGGACACCCUCUGUGGGGUUCCGUGUGGAUGAGGCACGUCCCUGGGGGCCAGGGCAAGGGGAGGGGCAGCCUGGAGCUGUGACUCAGAUUUACCUUCAGAGGGGCCCCGUGGGGUGGGUGGCAGACAGGAGUGGGGACAGAGGUGCCCAGAGACACCGCUUUGAAUACCAGCUGAAGCAGCCGGGUUCCGGGGUGGGGGUGGGGCUACCCAUCGUUAGCAGGAGCUGCGGGGAAGGAGCUGGUGGCGGGGAGCGGGCAGAAUCUGGGGCUUGGCGCCUGCUGUCCCCACCCGGUGCGGCUCCCCUGACCUCUGUACCCGCAGAAGCCUCAUCCCUGACGCUGGGACCCAGGGAUGGACGGCGAGCCGGGGGGCAGGGGCACGGGGAUGCCUGGCUCCUCUGCACUGCCUCAGUUUCCCCUCUGUACAGAGGCACUGAUGAGGCCCAGCCUCCCUCUGGGCUCAGUUCUCAGCUGAGGUCUGGCUGUGACUGUUGGCAGUGCCACUCUCGGAGCCAGUAUGAGACCUGUCCCCGGCCUGCGGCCCUGGACAGACAGUGA
rnacentral:lncRNA from 1 species